rnacentral:rRNA from 1 species
CAGUCGCCGCGGUAAAACGAAGGGGGCUAGCGUUGCUCGGAAUGACUGGGCGUAAAGGGCGCGUAGGCGGCGGCCAAAGUCAGGCGUGAAAUUCCCGGGCUCAACCUGGGGGCUGCGUUUGAUACUUGGUUGCUUGAGUGGGGAAGAGGGUCGUGGAAUUCCCAGUGUAGAGGUGAAAUUCGUAGAUAUUGGGAAGAACACCGGUGGCGAAGGCGGCGACCUGGUCCUUUACUGACGCUGAGGCGCGAAAGCGCGGGGAGCAAACAGGAUUAGAUACCCCUGUAGUCCCUGUCUCUUAUAC